rnacentral:rRNA from 1 species
GGGUGAGUAACACGUGGAUAACCUACCUAUAAGACUGGGAUAACUUCGGGAAACCGGAGCUAAUACCGGAUAAUAUAUUGAACCGCAUGGUUCAAUAGUGAAAGACGGUUUGCUGUCACUUAUAGAUGGAUCCGCGCCGCAUUAGCUAGUUGGUAAGGUAACGGCUUACCAAGGCAACGAUGCGUAGCCGACAUGAGAGGGUGAUCGGCCACACUGGAACUGAGACACGGUCCAG